rnacentral:rRNA from 1 species
CCUACGGGAGGCAGCAGUGGGGAAUAUUGGACAAUGGGCGAAAGCCUGAUCCAGCAAUGCCGCGUGAGUGAUGAAGGCCUUAGGGUUGUAAAGCUCUUUUACCCGGGAUGAUAAUGACAGUACCGGGAGAAUAAGCUCCGGCUAACUCCGUGCCAGCAGCCGCGGUAAUACGGAGGGAGCUAGCGUUAUUCGGAAUUACUGGGCGUAAAGCGCACGUAGGCGGCUUUGUAAGUAAGAGGUGAAAGCCUGGUGCUCAACACCAGAACUGCCUUUUAGACUGCAUCGCUUGAAUCCAGGAGAGGUGAGUGGAAUUCCGAGUGUAGAGGUGAAAUUCGUAGAUAUUCGGAAGAACACCAGUGGCGAAGGCGGCUCACUGGACUGGUAUUGACGCUGAGGUGCGAAAGCGUGGGGAACAAACAGGAUUAGAUACCCUGGUAGUCCACGCCGUAAACGAUGAUAACUAGCUGUCGGGGCUCUUAGAGCUUCGGUGGCGCNGCUACGCAUUAAGUUAUCCGCCGUCGGGAGGUACGGCCGGCCGAACGGUUAAAACGUUAAAACGUUAAGUAAGUUAGUACGGCGUGAGACGUGCCGAACGGACGACGACGAGGGAGGUAGG